rnacentral:rRNA from 1 species
CCCUUAGAUGUCCUGGGCUGCACGCGCGCUACACUGAUGUGUCCAGUAAGCACCUAACCUCUUCCGAAAGGAACGGGUAACCUUUGCAAAGCACAUCGUGAUGGGGAUAGAUUAUUGCAAUUAUUAGUCUUGAACGAGGAAUUCCUAGUAAGCACAAGUCAUCAGCUUGUGUUGAUUACGUCCCUGCCCUUUGUACACACCGCCCGUCGCUACUACCGAUUGAACGGUUUAGUGAGGGCCUCGGAUUGGUCUCGGCCCGCUCUUCACCGGGCGGCGCCGUUGGUCGAGAAGACGCUCGAACUUGAUCGUUUAGAGGAAGUAAAAGUCGUAACA